rnacentral:rRNA from 1 species
GACGAACGCUGGCGGCACGCUUAACACAUGCAAGUCGAACGAGAGAAGAGAAGCUUGCUUUUCUGAUCUAGUGGCGGACGGGUGAGUAACACGUGAGCAAUCUGCCUUUCAGAGGGGGAUACCGAUUGGAAACGAUCGUUAAUACCGCAUAACAUAAUUGAACCGCAUGAUUUGAUUAUCAAAGUUUUAUCGCUGAAAGAUGAGCUCGCGUCUGAUUAGCUAGUUGGUAAGGUAACGGCUUACCAAGGCGACGAUCAGUAGCCGGACUGAGAGGUUGAUCGGCCACAUUGGGACUGAGACACGGCCCAGACUCCUACGGGAGGCAGCAGUGGGGAAUAUUGCACAAUGGAGGAAACUCUGAUGCAGCGAUGCCGCGUGAGGGAAGAAGGUUUUAGGAUUGUAAAACUCUGUCUUCAGGGACGAAAAAAGACGGUACCUGAGGAGGAAGCUCCGGCUAACUACGUG